rnacentral:rRNA from 1 species
AUACGGGAGCCAGCAGCCGCGGUAAUACGGGAGCCAGCAGCCGCGGUAAUACGGGAGCCAGCAGCCGCGGUAAUACGGGAGCCAGCAGCCGCGGUAAUACGGGAGCCAGCAGCCGCGGUAAUACGGGAGCCAG